rnacentral:lncRNA from 1 species
CGGGUGGAGAUGAUAAUCUAUCUCCUCUGGAUGGAACUACUACUGUUUUCGAUAAUGUUUAUUUUAGGGGUUUGAAGGAAAAGAAGGGUCUGUUGCACUCAGACCAGGAACUCUACAACGGUGGCUCCACAGAUUCCAUAGUUGAAACCUACAGCAUCAACACUGCCACUUUCUUCAGGGAUGUGGCCAACGCCAUGGUUAAGAUGGGAAAUAUUAGUCCUUUAACCGGAACUAAUGGACAGAUUAGGACCAACUGCAGGAAAGUCAACGGAUCCUAGUCAGUUUAUGGAUUUUAUUUCUUUCUGGUUUAAGUGUCUUUAAUGUUAAUCUCCUACCAUAAAUAAUUGGAAGUUGCUUAUCGCAAAGCAGUCUGGGAAAUUUGCGGAGUUUAUGGUAUUUGUAUUUGUUCGUCUACUUAAAAAAUUAUCUUAAAAAUUUUUUAGUCAGUUUUGGUUCUAUUGCAUAAGUUAAAUUUUUGUAUCAUCAACCAUGGGCACCAUAAUUUUGAAUGAUUGACAUUAUUUUCCUAGUCAUUUGAUUACAAGUAAAUGGUAAGAAAGAUUUUUUCUUACGAGAAAAGAUUUUAAAUUUUCUAAGCCAAUCAGAAGAGCUCUGAAGGGAUAAGAUGGACAAGUAGCCAUUUUGAAGCCUCAGACUUUAAUAUGCAUGCACUAACUAAAUCUAGCUAUCCAAGGUGUUGACUCCCGGUCCCAAUUAGUCAGUAACAUAAAGAAAGGGCAAUGAAUCAUUUUUGAUACACGUAUGACUUAGGGCCCAUAUAAUAAUGAUGGUAUGAAUCAGAUGGAUAAUAGUGGUGAUGUGAAAGCUGCCUCUUCCGUCUAUUCAACCCUAGCAAAUAAUGUAGCCCAAUGCUGGAUCUAGUCUUCUGUCGCUAACAAAACUGUUGAGCCUUAAUUAAUAGGCCCGAUGGCAGUAAUGCAUCAUGCAACUUACCUUUUUGGGCUUGUAAUCAAGAUGUUUUGUUAGAGUGCAUAAUAAACUCCUGAGUUUAAACUUCAAGGAUUUUAUCUUAGCAUGUAUAUGAUAUAUUAUAAGCUUUUAGAAAAAUCAAUAGUUGGACAGGUUUCUCCUUUAAAUUUAUUUAUACAUAUAUUAUAAGUUUUUAGGAAAAUUAAUAAUUCAACAAGUAUAUCCUCCAAAUUUAUUUUAUUAAAAUUCUUUUGUUAAAAAUAUUUAUGAUACAUAAUUUUAUAAAUAGUAUUUAUAAAUUUAUUCUUUCGUUAAUAACUAUUUAUAAUAACUAUAUAUAUAUAUGUCACUUUUUAUUUUGACUUCAUACUUGAAAAUUAAUUAGGAAUAAAAAUAAGAUAAAUUUUUUGGAUACUCAUAUCAUCCCAAUCCUAAUGAUGGAUUUGAGAUGAAAAAUAAAUAGAUUAAAAAUGAAUUUGAGGUUUUUUAUUUUAAACUCAGAUAGAUAUAAAAUAAAUAGAUCAAUGGGCUAAGGCACUUAAAAUUAAAUUUUGUUGUUUAGUGAUUGUGGGUUUUUAGGCUGAAGAGAUUCAAUCAAGGCGAGUUUAAGUACUGCUAUCACUGACCUCACCCAAGUGGUCUUAUGGGCUUCACUACCAAGGAAAUGGUGGCUCUCUCAGGUGUACUGGUCGGCAUUUGGUAGCAAGCAUGAUUAGAAAAUUGACAAAAUAGUAUGUUUGCUGUUUUAAUUUAAAAAAAAUGAUAUCAUAUUUCAAGAGUGGUAUUUAUUUCCGUUGUCAAAUGGCCCUCUACUUUACUGCAUGUCUUUCACCAAUAUUCUUAACUGUACUAUUUUCCCCCCUUAGAAUAAAGGCAUCACUAUCAUUCUGCUGAUGACACUUUUCUUUUAUGGUAUCUAAAAGUCAUUCAACUUUUAAGUUAAAGAGCAUAAUGUUAGUCCUGUGGAACUUGUACACGAUGUCGGCCGAGUUGAGUACUUCAUGCACAAGAGCUUAAUUUUAUUAAAAAUAUUAUAUAUAUACACACACACCGAAUGGUAAAAUCCAUUUAUGACCAGAUAAACUACCAGCUGCAACAGAUCUUCGAGGAGCUUUUCUUGCAUAAUCUGGGCCAUUAGCCUACAACAAUGGACUUCUAUUUCAAAACUAAGGGCGACGACAGUAGUGUUGUUUGCUCGGAAUCCCUUCACCCGAUUGCCAAGAGGGUGGCGAUUGUGUUCUCUUCUUUCCCCAAGAUGGCUGAGAAAGUCCCCUUCACCCUGAAAAAUUAAAGAAUGAGAUUCUACAUUAAAAGUUUUAAUAAAACGAGACCCAACGAUGAAUUUCGGGUUUACAGCAGGCCCUUUAAGGGAUAGGAUCAUAGGACAAACUACAAGUAGGAGUUUGAACUUGGAAGGUCCAAAUCCAGACUUUUUCAUGCACUUCAACUAAGCCCAUCAAAGGUGUUCACUCUCAGUCUCAAUUAGUGAAUAAAAUAAAGAAAUGUUGAAAUGGGUCUCAAAUUCCUAAUAUUUUCUUAUCCAAGAACUCAAAAGUCAUACAUAAUUUUUUUAUAAUAUAUAUAUUAUAGUAAAACAAUUCCUCUUGAUUGUUAAUCAAAUCAUAUUAAAACCUCAUGUAUCUUUAAUUAGAUUGUUUUAUAUUUAUGUUUUCAAAUUAAUAUUGUUUAUAUUAAGACUUUCGAUACCACAAGAAAAAAUGAUGAUGAAUUAAUCAGGCGUAUAUGAAUUAGGCCCACAUGAAAAAGAUGGUAUUUAUAAGAUAUAUGGAUGGUGAAGAUGCUCUAUCUAACAUUAAUGUAACCCAAUUCUGGAUCUAGGUUUCGGUUGCUAGCAGAACUAUUCAGGUUCAAUGGACUCACUAUUUUUGGUGCCAGUCUUCAGUUUAGGCCUUCAAAAAAAUUAUUAUGAUUGAAAUACCUUCAGUAGUUACAGUUUAUAAUUUAUGAUUUGACAUGGUUUACCUUCAAUUUUGAGGUCAAAAUUAUAGCCUUUUCAGCCUCUGUCCAGCUUCUAAAGGAACUAUUUUUUCUAUAGAAACAAAUUAUUUAAAUGCUUGAAGCAUAUAUUGCAGGGUAGGUAGAGAUUCAAUGCAUAGGACCAACCCCCAUAGAAAUAAGAAACCCCACAAAUUUAACCAAGAGCCUUUCAAUCAUUGGCACUAUCCCCUUGCAAGCAUCGAGUCAAGUACUUGGGUUCGAUUAUGUGUGUCUUUUUAAUGUCUUUCCAUAUAUAUAAAUUUUACAGCCACGCAUGCAAGGAGAGGCCUUGGCCCAGAAGCAAUACACUACUAUCCCGAAUCUAACUUCAUUAUACACGGAAAGCUUGAGGCUGAAAACUAGCCUAUUAUAAUAUGUAGGCGUGUUGCGGACAUGAAAACAAAUACAGGUACAGACCAAAGUAAAACCCGUGGAAGAAAGGAUUUUGGAUAAGAGUAUGAUAGUUUAAAAAAAUAAUUCCUAAAUUACCAUUGUGGAAAAAAUAAUUCCAAAUUUACUGUAUUUUAAAAAAUUUACACAUGAAAAUCGUCUAUUGAAGAGACAAUUUUCUCAAAUUUUUAUUUUAUUUUUAAAUAAUAAUUUGGGAAAAAUCGUCUCUUGAAGUAACGAUUUUCUUAAAAAAGUGAUGAUUCCCCGGUGCCCCCCCCAAAAAAAAAAAAAAUCAUUUUUUCAUUCCUUAUAAAUUUUUUAAUUAAUGAUAUAUUUUUUAAUAAUAUAAUUAUUAUAAAUUUAAUUAAUUUUAUUUACUAAAUUUAAUAUAUAAAAAAAUUAUGAUUAUUGAGAUAUUUAUCUACAAUAAUAUUUUUUAAAAAUAUAAAUUAUGUUUAAUAUUUAGAUAUUGAUUUUAAAAAUAUUUUCUUCUUAAUCUUCACUUUUUUCUUUAAAUUAAUUCAAUUAAUUAUAAUUAAUAAAAUUAAUUUACUUUGAUAUUGUUUUUUAUUUAUAAGAUAAAUAAUAUUUAUCUAAUAAUUUUUAUUUCUUUUGCUUUGUAAUUUAAAAAAAUUAUUAUCAAUUUUAUGUGAAAAAUGCGUUUAUAAAAAAAUUGUUAUUAAUUUCUCAAAUAAUUAUUACAAAAUAAAUAAUUUUGUUAUAUAAAUUUUAAAAUUAAAAAUAUUAAUUUUUAAUUUAAAAUUUAACUGUAAAAGGAAUAAAUAUAGAAAAAUAAAUUAAUUUAUUAUUCAAUAAAUUAAUUUUCAAUAUGAAGAGAUAUAAUUUUUUAAGUAUUAAUCAAUUUAAAAAGAAAUAAUAAUCAUUUGUAUAUUAAAAUAUUUUAUUUAAUAAUUAUAAAUGAUAAACAACUAAAGUAAUUUGAAAAAAUAAUAAAAUAUUUCUUUAAAAAAUAAUUUAAUACACUUAAAAUUAGAAAUAAUUAACUAUUUUUUAUUAAGAAAAAAAUUGAGGAAAUAUUUUGUUAUAUAAAAAUUUUUAUUUGUUUUUAAUUUUUAAAGUUAUAGGUUCCAAGAAAAUCCAUCAAAUAAAAAAAAUCAUUUUUUCAAAAACUAUAUAUCCAAAUAAAAACCUUGAAAUUCAAAUAUAUAAUAUCAUAAAUAUAAACACCAAGUCAAUCCUUAAUUAUCAAAUAUUUUUUAUAUUAAAUAAUCUAAGUCACCAACUAUCAUGAUUAUAAGAAAACCAAUAAUAUUGUUCAUAUAAAUACUAAAAAAUCAACAAAUAUCCCAACAAUUAAUAAAGUAUCAACCAUAAUAAAAAAAUCAAUUAUUAUCAUGAAUGCAAAAAACCAACAACUUUGUUCAUAUGAACCAUCAACAAAUAAAUAAUAAAAAAAAUCAAUAUCUAAAUAUUAAACUUAAUUUAUAUUUUUAUAAAUAUUAUUUAUGAUAAAUAUCUCAAUAAUUAUAAUUUUUUAUAUAUUAAAAUUUAAUAAAUAAAAUUAAUUAAUUUUAUAAUAUAUAUUUAUAUUAUUAAAAAAAUAUAUCAUUAAUUUUAUUUUUUUGUGGAGAAAAAUACGAUUUCUCCCUAUUUUUUUUCUUUUAAAAAUCAUAUAUUCAAGAGACGAUUUUAGUGUGUAAAUUUUUUUAAAAAUAAAUGUUAGAAAUCAUAUUUUCAAAAGAUGAUUUUUUUAUAUAUAAAUUGUUUUCAAAUAAACGAUUUAAAAAGGAAAUAACGUUCUCUUUCAUAUUUAGCAAAAACUAUGGUAGAUUUGAAAUUAUUUUUUUAACCACGGUAGUUUAGAAAUUGUUUUUUUAAAUUGUCGUACUUUUAUAAAAAAUCAAAGAAAGAUAUGGUUUGGCCCUUCAUUCUAUUUUAGCUUAAGAUUUACAAAAUCUUUUUUGAAUAAACAACUCUAUCUGAACUAAAUAAAGUAUAACAAAAAUCCAAUAUGAUACUUCCAUCUGUUUCUAAUAAAAACUGAACUCAAUCAAUGUGAUCAACUCUAUAUAUCAUAGAAAUCAAAUUAACUAGAUAUAAAAUGAAAAAUCAAACCAAACCAAAUAUUUUAAGAUCCAUUUGGUUUGGUUUUUAAUUAUAGAUUUGUAUUUGUUUUGAACUUAAAAAUUAUUAAUAGGAGUUUAUAUUAAAUCUUGAGUUUUAUUUAUUUUUAAAAUUAUUGAAACCAACUUGAAUUUGAUAUUAAAAAUCUAUCAAAUCCAUUUAGAAUUGAUUUGAUCAUAAUAUAAAAAUAAUGAAUUACUUUAAUAAAAUCUAAUAUAGAAAAAUUUCUCAAAUAUCAAAUAAUUAUGUAUAAAUUUUAAAAUAUUGGUUUGAUUUCGUUUUUAUCUAUUAGGAAAUAAGAAAAUCGAAAAUUGAACUAUCAAGGCCAAUUUCAAAAUUCUCAAAUCAAACCGAUUUUUUUUUUUAUUAAAAAUUGAACCAAUAUCAUAGGUUUUGAUAGAUUUUUUAUUUUUUUAUUUACUUUACCUAGACCCGAAAUAAUAGUGGGCAAGUCACAUGAAUACAUGAAUCAACACAAACAACCCAAAAGUUAGGAUUUGAAAAUCGAAAAUCUGUUGUAAGCUAUAAGCUUGACAGCAAACUGUAAACAUUGUCCAUGGAUUUUUUUUUUUUUUUUUUUUUGUUAUUAGAGUACCCUAAACAGGCGGUUAGGGACCUAAUAAAAUAGCCUUCUUUUUUUCAAGGUACUUGAUCAAGAGUUUAUUUGAUUAUGUGAUUUAAAUACAAUUUUUAUUUCUAAUUAAAAACAUAUUUUUUUAAAACAAAAUAAGAUAGGGAAUAGUUUUAAAGAAUAAGUAAAAAUCAUUUUCAACUAUUAAAAAAUAAAAUAAAAAUAUAGAGAAAUAAAGAAAUAAUUUAAAAAACCUAUAAAAAAAAUGUUUAAAUAUGAGUUGUCUCUAUAUUAUGUGUGUUUUUAAAAUUUCUUUUAAUUUCUCUAAAUUUUUUCAUGGCUAAUUAAAUAGAUUUCAAAUAAAGCAGAUUUGAUAGAUAAGAUUUACUCUAUUUUUUUAAAAUAAUUUGAAACUAAAAUAUUGAUUAAUAUUAGAAGGAAAUAUAUAAUAGACUAAAACUUAUUUUGAGUGACUUUACUAAUUUUUUUCUUUAUAUAUCAUUUUUUCAUAAUUAAUUUUUUUUUAAAAUUUCAAUUAGAUAAAUAAAUUCUAAAUUAAGUAAAACCAAAUUAUAGAAUUUGUAAAUUUAUGAACAAAAAUUAAUGGAGAAUAACUUUGUUGCUUCUCAUUUGGUCAAAACAUAUUUUUUUUUCAAAUUUUCUUAAUAAAUAAAUAAACUUCAAAUCAAAUAAGAUUUAAUAUAUUUGAUUCUUUCACCGAUAGAUUAUUUUUAAAAAUAAUUUCAAAUUUUAAAAAAUCAAUCAAUUAUUAGAAUUUUACAAAUGAAAAUUGGUCUGAAAUAACUAUUCUGAUUCUCCUUAACACUUUUAUGAUUUUUCAUGAACUUCAAAUAAAAUAAGGCUUUAUGCAUUGUGCUUAUUAGUCUAAUAAUUUUCAAAAAAUAAUACAAUAUCACUAAACAGUAAUCCGGAUUAAUGUGUUCCAAGUACUACUUUUAUUCAAUUCCCUUAAAUCAUUAGCCACCACAUCAAAAUUUUAACCAGCUGAUUACAUCCAUAUUGAUCUUAAUAAAAACAAACAGCUUUAUUAAUUCGAUGAAUGGGGAGGGGGAGGUUGUCUAUUGCUAAACAGACAAAUUGCAGUAGCCGGUUUUGAAUAAGUUGAUGGCGAAGACAAUUCCACAAGAACUGAUAGCAUGUCAGCAUGUGGCUGUGUUAUCUUCAUUCUUUGGAAGACGAUUAAAGUCUGAUUUUGGAGCAGUAGGAGUGAGAAUUUCGGGAUAAGGACAUCGAUGCCAUCCACGAAUUAUGUUUUUGUCAUGAUUUGGCUGUCUGGUCAAAAUAAUGGAGCUGGAGGUUGCAAAUAUCAACGCAUGCCUUUUUCAUCUCAAGGCUCUGACACAGAUAUUUAUGUCCUUGGCUCCAUCCCUGUAUCCCACAAAGCUAACCAACCAACCAUGUUUUCAGGGGGAUAUUUAUCAGAAAGAAAAUAAAAAAAUAUUAAGUGAGGCAUAUUUUUCGGACUGGCCCGUGGAAACCACAUGGCUGAUGUUGACAAGUACUCGAUACUCAUUAAGGAAUUCAAAGUCCCGAUGAAGCAAAUUCCCUCAAUAUCUUCCCUGAAAAUUUCUGAAAAACCAUUCCUCAGAUGAAGCAAUCACGGAAGCCUUUGAUUUGCAACAUGCGCGUAUUCUCCCUCAGAUUGAGGGUAAAGGAGGUUGGAGAGCUACUGACUUUCAUAAUUAUGUAAAAUAUGCUACUUCUGGAAGAGAAGACUUGGAGCUACAAUCCACCGAGCAAGUGGGCUCAUUUCCCGAUAAUGAAAACCUUAUUUGUUUUGUUAUAUCCACCGAUCUUGACUUGAUAAACAUCCAAGUCAAGUACUCAACAUCAUGGUCUUUUCGAAAGGCCGGUGGCAAAAAAAGUAAAGUAUAGGCGUGGGUCAGGCUUGCACCACUUGCAACUCCAAUCAACCCAAUCAAACAAAACAGCCAACCCACUCCUUACCCGUCACUCUUCUCAUUUUCUUCCUUCAUUAUACUUUUCCAAUGUUAAUCAUCCACUACUACGUAAAAUGUCAAAAGAGCGCAAUCAUAUACUACUAUCAAUUGAUUAAUAUAGAGAAAAAACGCCACCCUCAUGCCCGAAAUUCAAACUGGACUUGAUUACUUUACGUCGGUGGUCAAUUAAAGGCCACCUCAAACUCCAUCGAACUUGUGUAUUGAAACUAUGUAUCCUCCAAAUCUCUCACUUACUUGAUCUCAAUCAAACACUAGGAACGUUAAGGGAAUUAAGCCAAAUUUCCAACAUGCGAGAAAUAAAAAAUAUAGAAAAUACACGUCAAAGAAAAAUAAUUAUACACACAAGACAGUAUUUACGUGAUUCGAUAAUUUACCUAUGUUCAAGUAGUUGUAAGGAUAUUACUAUUAUGAGAGAAGAAUACAGAGUACCACAUUUUGCUACAAUAUUUUCUCUCUAUAUAAAACACGAUAACGACACCACAAUAAAAAACCCUAAUUACAAAAGACGGUUCCACAAUGAGUUAAAUGGACCCAAAAAUCAUAUUUGGCUAUAAUAUUUUUUCUCUAUAUAAAACACGGCAACGACACCACAAUAAAAAACCCUAAUUACAAAAAACAAUUUCACAAUGAGCUAAACAUACCAAAAAAAUUUUCUCAAGGGCAACGCCCCCAAACCCCCAGAAGACUUGUCCAUGAGACGCAAUAUUAUUCGAGUCAAGUCAUCAAAUCAGAUCAAAUAAAACUAAGCUCCAUAAAACCCGACAGAAAUGUAGUUAGUUCUAGAAUGUGCAUGAAAACUAUUUCGCCAUGAGUAGAUCUACUGAGAGAUGACAAAGUCUAAGAGAUGCCUAAUUCUAAGUUCUCAUUCCGAGCACGCGCUUUGUUUUAACCACCACCGAAGAAUCCCCCCGAGCACGCGCUUUGUUUUAACCACCACCGAAGAACCCCCCCCCCCCCCCCCCCAAAAAAAAAAGGAAAAAAAGUCAACAUGUCUUGUAAGCCGUCUACUACACAUUACUUUUUUAUAAAGAAAAGUGUUCCACGACUAGCAUAAAUAUGGAGUACUACUGCACCAAGAAAGAGCACCAGAUCAGGCUUAACCAGUUCCAAACACAAAGGUUCCUUUGUUUGUGUCUCAACACAUCCAAAUUAAGCCAUGGCUUCCCUAUCCUUGUUUUCCUUAUUCUGUGUGUUUUCGUUUCUAUUGGGGAUGGCACAUGCACAGCUCUCCUCCAACUUCUAUGCAAGUUCAUGUCCUAAGGCUCUCUCUACCAUUCGAGCUGCAGUAAACAAUGCAGUGGCCAAAGAGCGCCGCAUGGGAGCCUCAUUGCUUCGCCUCCAUUUCCAUGAUUGCUUUGUAUUGGUAAGUCUCCUCCUCCAUAUUUAACUCCUUUUUACUGCAUUUUUUUCAGUGCUUGUUCUGGUUACUUCUGACUAGUCUGCAAAUUAGAUUUGAAAUCCAGAAGUCAACCAUGAUCAUGUGGCACUGGUUGACCCUUAAGAUAUUAAUAAACCUCAAUAAUAAUCCCUUCAUACAUGACAUGUCACAUGCAUACGUGCAUAAGGCUGUUUAACAGGAAAAUAUGUACUAAUAACAUCUUCAUGUACAAAUUUAACAGGGAUGUGAUGCUUCUAUAUUAUUGGACGACACUGCAAGCUUUACCGGAGAGAAGACAGCAGGACCAAAUAAGGACUCUGUGCGAGGAUAUGAGGUGAUCGACACCAUUAAAUCUCAAGUGGAAAGUUUGUGCCCUGGGGUUGUUUCUUGUGCAGAUAUUGUAGCAGUGGCAGCUCGUGACUCUGUUGUUGCUGUAAGAGACCUACUUCCUUCACAACUACUAUAUAACCAUUAAUCGUGACCUUGCAGUCUAUAAUAGGGUUCAAAGAUACAAUAAUCUGUCUUCCUUAUUCUACAAACACCAUUAUUUUAGAGUAUUUCGGAAAUACUAUUUCCAGCCAGCCUUCAUUAGCCACCAUGGAAACCUUAUCAUGGACAAACUUUUAACAUAGGAGCUAAUUAAACAUGGCUAUGUAUACCGGCGUUUACUGAACUAUGAUACAAACCAUACCAAAAAAAAUUGAUGUUUUUAUAAAAUAUUUAUGGGCUAAGACCUUUCAAAUAAUUGGUUAAUUAACUAAAUUAAUAUUGCGGUUUACUGAUUAUAUGUUUUUUCAGUUGGGUGGCCCAACAUGGACCCUGCAAUUAGGCAGAAGAGAUUCAACCACGGCGAGUUUGAGUACUGCUAACAGUGACCUCCCUGGCCCGGCCUCAGAUCUUAGUACUCUUAUAUCUAGAUUCUCCAACAAGGGCUUCACUACUAAGGAAAUGGUGGCUCUCUCAGGUAUGCUCUGGCAUUUGGUAGCAAAAAUGAUUAGAAAAUUGAUAAAUUAGUAUAUUUUCUGUUUUAAUAUUAAAAAAAUGAUAUCAUAUUUUUUCAUUUUCGUUGUCAAAUGGGCCGUCUACUUCACUACUUCGUGUCUUUGACCAUAUCCUUAACUACUCAUGCUUUUUCCCCACAAAGUGAAGGCAUCACUAUCAUUGGAAGAAAGUGGAAAAGAAAAGACAGCAAAAAAUGACGCUUAUUAGUCACCUUAGAAGUCAAAAUAUUGUUAAUUUUUUAGAAGAAGUCACAUACGACCUAGAGCAAGUUGAGGCACAAGUACUCAAUUUUAUAUUUGAAUUUAUUAUCCGAAAUUCCUCCUAAUUUGAAAUAUAUUUCGUUUUAUUUUUUUAUUUUUAGGAACUCAUACCAUAGGUAAAGCAAGAUGCACAAGCUUUCGGAGUCGAAUUUACAACGAGACCAACAUCGAUGCAGCAUUUGCAACAUCAAAACAGAAAAUCUGCCCAAGCACGGGUGGAGAUAAUAAUCUGUCUGAUCUGGAUGAAACGACUACUGUUUUCGAUAAUGUUUAUUUCAGAAAUUUGAAGGCGAAGAAGGGUCUGUUGCACUCAGACCAACAACUCUAUAAUGGUGGUUCCACAGAUUCCAUAGUUGAAACCUACAGCACCAACUCUGCCACUUUCUUUACGGAUGUGGCCAAUGCCAUGAUUAAGAUGGGAAACCUGAGUCCCCUAACAGGAACUAAUGGAGAGAUCAGGACCGACUGCAAGAAAAUCAAUGGAUCUUAGUCAAUUUAUGAAUGUCUUUAAUGUUGUACUACUUCAAUAAUAUUUGGAAGUAGCUUAUCACAGGUGAUUUGCAAAAUUUGCCUUGCUUAUGACAUUUGUAUAAUAAUGUUCAUCAACUCAAAGGUUUAUCCCAAAUAAAGUUUUUAGUUGGUUUUGGAUCAUCUGAAAAAAUUAAAUUUCCGUGCGCCAGACCAUUUGCACCAUAAUUUUGAAUGAUUAAAAUUAUUUUUCAGACUCUUUUGAUUACAACUAAAUUUAAUAACGAGAAAAAGAAACGAACGGGAACGAAAACACCACAGGGUGAAUAUUUUUGUAUUUAUUUUUUAAAGAAUUUAUUUUUUAAAAUAAUACUUUUUAAAAAAAUCCUCCUUUUCUUUCACCUAAAUUUGCGGAUAAACCCGAGAGCAGGGUCAUCCCACGAGGAACACACACUCGUAUAUAAAUAUAUACAUGGAAUAUCUAAAAAUAAGUAAGAUAAAGGAAAGGGUUGAAUCAUUUAUGAUACGGACGACAGUAAGGCCCAUAUGAUAAUUGAUAGCUUGAAUAAGAUUGGUGGUGUUAAUGUGAAAGCUUCGUCCUUCAUCUAAUUCAACCCUACCUAAUAGUGCAACACAAUGCCGGGGCUAGAUUUUUGUCGCUAAAAAUUAAACAAGUCUGACUCAGCGGGCCCACUAUGUGUGGACUUUGGAGCACCAUUCAGCACACUGUUCUGGGCCUCUGUCAUCGUCACCGGCUGUCUCUCUUAAAUUUAUCAUUAUCUGAAAUCCCUCCCGUAAGAGCUAUUUAUGAUGUAUGAUUUGACAUGUUUUACUUCUAAUCUUGACUACAUACUAAAAAAUUAUCACUGAAAGGAAUUGAGAAAUACAUAGGAUCUUUCCUUUAUAGCCUCUGUCUAACUUGGAAAUGAACUAAUUUUCCUAUAAAAACAAAGUAAUUAAAUCCUUGAAGCAGAUAUUAGUGUAGGCGGAGAUUGAAUGCAAAGGAGAACCAUUAUCAAAUGAAGGAACCUCUCAAAUUUAACCCAGAGCCAUUCAAUCGCUGGUCAUGUUCCUUGACAAGAAUCGGUUCACCUACUUGUCUUCCAUUAUAUGAUUCGUUUUAAUGGCUUUCCGUACUCUAGUGUUUCCACACCUCAAUCAAAAUAUUGUCUUCCAUUAUCAAAUGAAGACAUUAUCAAAUGAAGGAACCCCUCAAAUUUAACCCAGAGCCAUUCAAUCGUUGGUACUGUUCCUUGACAAGAAUCGGUUCACCUACUUGUCUUCCAUUAUAUGAUUCGUUUUAAUGGCUUUCCAUACUCUCAAGUGUUUCCACACCUCAAACAAAAUAUUGGUAAGUCAUCUUUACUUUACAGUCGACAAUACUAUUCAUCACCCCCCUAGGGUAAUUUUAGGAAUAAAAAACACAACUUUCAAAUAUCAGUCCUAAUAGUUUGGGUAGAUAUAUAUGUUUUUUCUAACCCAAAACUUCAUUUUAACCCCUUCAAGGUUUUGUUUAUGUCGAGCCAAACUCCGUUGGGCACAGAUUGGGCCUCCGUAUGCAGCCCCAUCGAAGCUUCCUUAUGCAUUUGGGUUUGUUACAAGGCAUUGCACUAGAUGACCAAGAAAAUCAAUCAUCACAUGGUCUUUCUUGGGGGGUUGAAAAUUCAAUCCGCCAAUUAUGCUAGAAACUGGACUCUCAACUCCAAACCAACACAAACAUACAAAAACAGCCGACCCACACUCCUCAGCCGACAUCAAUGUUAAUCCUACACUACUACGUAAAAUGUUGAACUCAAUUAUUUAUUAGUAUCGAGUGAUUAAAGAGGAAAAAUAUCACCCUCAUAACCAAACUUCAAACUGGACCUGGGUUACUUUUAUGUCGGUGCUUAGUUAAAGCGUCAAACCCCACCAGACUGGUCAAUUAAAGUUUACUAAAGAAUAUAUUUAACUAUCCUCUAAAUCUUUCAAUUAAUUGAUCCCAACGAAAAACUAGGCACGUAAUUACUUUCAGAAUUUUUAGCCGUAGGCCAUGUACGAAAACUGUUUUGUAAUGAGUAGAUCUACAGAGAGGAAGACCAAGUCCAAGAGAUGCCCAAUUUCAAAUUUUCAAGUUCUUCCCAGCAUGUGCUUUGAUUUAACCUACAGCGAAAGGGCAUAUGCCAAAACUGAAAAAUCCAACAUGGCCAACUAAGGUGGCUUCGAUAGACAUUUCUACCUAGAGAAAAAAAGAAAAGAGUUCCACGAUUAGCAUAAAUAUGGAGUGCUACUCCACCAAGAGAGAGCACCAAAUCAGGCUUAACCAGUUCCAAACACAGAGGUUCCUUGGUUUGUGUCUCAACACAUCCAAAUUAAGCUAUGGCUUCCCUCUCCUUGUUUUCCUUAUUCUGUAUGUUUUCGUUUCUAUUGGGGAUGGCACAUGCACAGCUAUCUUCCGACUACUACUCAAGUUCAUGCCCUAGCGCUCUGUCUACCAUUCAAACUGCAGUAAACAAUGCAGUGGCUGACGAGUCCCGCAUGGGGGCCUCACUGCUCCGCCUUCAUUUCCAUGAUUGCUUUGUAUUGGCAAGUCUUUCUCCACAUAUAUUUAGCUCCAUUUUUCUGGAUAUUCUGUUUUUUACUACUUGUUCUGGUUGCUUCUGACCAGCUCUCCAAUUUAGGUUUGAAAUCCAGAAGUCAACCGGAUCAUUUGGUACUGGUUGAGCUUUAAGAUGUUAAUAAACCUCAGUCAAUCCCUUCAUAAAGAGAAAAAUAUUAGUAACAUGCAUGCACACAUACAGCUGUUUGACAGGAAAAUGCGUACUAACAACAUCUUCAUGUAUAAAUUCAACAGGGAUGUGAUGCUUCUAUAUUAUUGGAUGACACUGCAAACUUUACUGGAGAGAAGACAGCAGGACCAAAUAAUAACUCUGUGAGAGGAUAUGAUGUGAUCGACACCAUUAAAUCUCAAAUGGAAAGCUUGUGCCCUGGAGUUGUUUCUUGUGCAGAUAUUGUAGCUGUGGCAGCUCGUGACUCUGUUGUUGCUGUAAGAGACCAACUUCCUUCGCAACUACUACGUAUAUAAUCAUUAAUCAUAACCUUGCAGUUUAUAAUGGGGUUCAGAAAUAUAAUAAUCUGUCUUUCGUAUUCUCCAAACACAAUUAUUUUAGAGUAUUUCUGGCCAGGCUUCAUUAACCAUCACAGAACCCUCAUCAUGGCCAAACUUUUAAUUAACAUGGGUGCACGCUAAAACAUGGCUCCGUAUACCGUUGUCCUGCUGAAUUACGAUAAAACUCAUCCCAAAAAAUCUUGAUGGUUCUAUUAAAGAUUAAUAGGCUAAGACACUUCAAAUAAUUAGUUCAUUAACUAAAUAUUGUUGUUGAUUGAUUAUGGGUUUUUUCAGUUGGGUGGCCCAACAUGGACUGUGCAAUUGGGCAGAAGAGAUUCAACCACGGCGAGUUUUAGUACUGCUAACUCUGACCUCCCUGCUCCGACCUCAGAUCUUGAUGCUCUUAUAUCUCUCUUCUCCAACAAGGGCUUCACUACCCAGGAAAUGGUGGUUCUCUCAGGUAUACUAUGGCAUUUGGUAGCACAAAUAAUUAGAAAUUUGAUAAAAAUAGUUUUUUUUUUUAAUAUAAAAAAAUGAUAUCGUACUUCAAGAGUGGUUUUCAUUUCCGUUGCCAAAUGGGCCCUAUAUAUAUCACCAUUGUAUUUAUUAUGGAAAAUUCCUCAUAAUUUGUUAUAUGUGUGGGUUUUUUUUUAUCUUUCAGGAACUCAUACCAUAGGCAAAGCACAAUGCUCAAAAUUUCGGGAUCGAAUUUACAACGAGACCAACAUCGAUGCAACAUUUGCAACAUCAAAACAGGCAAUCUGCCCAAGCUCAGGUGGAGAUGAGAAUCUGUCUGAUCUGGAUGAAACGACUACUGUUUUCGAUAAUGUUUAUUUCACGAAUUUGAUAGAGAAGAAGGGUCUGUUGCACUCAGACCAACAACUCUACAAUGGUAACUCCACAGAUUCCAUGGUUGAAACCUACAGCAACGACUCUACCACUUUCUUUACCGAUGUGGCCAGCGCCAUGGUUAAAAUGGGAAACUUGAGUCCCCUAACCGGUACUGACGGAGAGAUCAGGACAAACUGCAGGGCAAUAAACGGAUAAAUUUAAAUGUCUUUAAAGUUG